AUUGAACGCUGGCGGCAUGCUUUACACAUGCAAGUCGAACGGCAGCGCGGGCUUCGUCCUGGCGGCGCGUGGCGAACGGGUGCGUAAUGCAUCGGAACGUGCCCAGUAGUGGGGGAUAGCCCGGCGAAAGCCGGAUUAAUACCGCAUACGACCUGAGGGUGAAAGCGGGGGACCGAAAGGCCUCGCGCUAUUGGAGCGGCCGAUGUCGGAUUAGCUAGUUGGUGGGGUAAAGGCUUACCAAGGCGACGAUCCGUAGCUGGUCUGAGAGGACGACCAGCCACACUGGGACUGAGACACGGCCCAGACUCCUACGGGAGGCAGCAGUGGGGAAUAUUGGACAAUGGGGGCAACCCUGAUCCAGCCAUGCCGCGUGCGGGAAGAAGGCCUUCGGGUUGUAAACCGCUUUUGUUCGGGAAGAAAUCCUCUGGGCUAAUACCCCGGGGGGAUGACGGUACCGGAAGAAUAAGCACCGGCUAACUACGUG
rnacentral:rRNA from 1 species